GGUUAUGUAGCUCAGUGGUUGAGCACCCGACUCAUAAUCGGAAGGACGUUGGUUCAAAUCCAGCCAUAACCA